GUUGUCUCUUGCUUUAGAUUGCAUGAUCCUCUGGGAAGGAAUAUUACUAAGUUCUGUUUAGUGCCCAGGAGGGCAGAACCAUAGUCUGAUAGGAGAGACCCUGGGUAACAUGGUAUUAUAAUGUUAUAAUAUUAUUAUAAAACAAGUAUGCACACAUUAUAAUCAUGUUUUAAUUAAGAAGGUAAAUGUACAGUUAGGCAAUUUAAUGGUAAUAUUUUCCUUUACCAUGGCUUUAUUAAAUCUGUGUCCCAUAGUUGUGUGUACAUACAACAUAUAGACUUUAAUGUGAGACAGCAGGCAUAAACAAUGAACAGAAGAACAAAAUAAAAAUGGAAGUAUGCAAACCAAUAUGAUAAAUGAAAGCCACAAGGUGUUCUUCUUAGUCCAUUUUUAGUUAAUAUGGUUCCUUGAGAACAUAUUUUUACUAAAUGUAGCCUAAUUGUGAGAACUGGGAUAUGUCUAUACAAGAUAUGUUAAUGCACCUUAGGCUAAUUUAUUGUGCAGUAUAGGCACAUGUCUAAACAUGCAGGCCCUUACUGCAUAGUGAAAAUGGCUAAUUGUGACUAAAUUUGAUACCUGCAUAUGCAAUUUGAUACCAAAUACAGGUAUCAAAUUUAGUUGUGAUUAAUUAAAGCACAGUAAUGCAUGUGUAGAUGCAAACUGGCACUAAAUUUAAUAAUGCCAGGUCUGCCCUGCCACUGGGAGCCUCUCCUGGCCUAGGGCUGGGCUGCCUCUGUGGCACGCCCUAGCUUUAGGGUAUAAAAGUCUGCAGCCAUUUUAUGCCCCAUGGCACACUGCACAGGAGCCUGGGUGAGCCUAUUCACUCCCCAGGAGCACUGUAGGCCCUGUGUGCCCCCCUGGACAGGACACAGGUUUCCUCUGCUUGUCCUGUCACCUAUCCAGAGCUGCUGCUUGGCCACAGAUGGGUGUUACAAAGGGCUGUAGCCUGCUGCACCCCCUUCCAGCCCUGAUAUCCCCCCACAGCUGCUGCCUGGAUGUCUCUGGCAGCAGGGCCAGCACCUGCUCCCUGCUGCUGCUCACCCCCAGCAGUCUGUCCUGUGCUUGCAGGUGCUGUGCUGCAUGGCUCCCAUUCCUGUGCUGUUCUCUUGUGCUGGGUACUGUUGGGUGCUGUCCAGGGCUGGCAACAGUGAGACAACUGCAUGGUGGCCCAGAGAGUUGACAUGGGUUACUGUCAUCCUCCUCCUCCCCAUCAAGGUCUGGCCCUGCUUAUGUGUCCAUGCCUGUGCCAUCCACCUGGGCCCCCAACUGGAUCCAGGAGGAGAGCCAACAUCUGGAUGCAGGGGAGAGCCCACUGGCCUCAGUGGGUGUGCCACCUCCAGGUUGCUACCACCCAGCAUUGGAGUCCAUCGCAUGCACCAGCUGCAACAACGGCACAUGCAAAACAGGACCCUCCUGUUCCAGCACCUGGUGGCGCUGGCCAGGGCAGCCAGGAGGAUCAGGGGACCUUAUUCCUGGCUGCCAGGGCCAGGGGCUGAGGCAGCCAUAGCUGAGGACUGCAGAUGUAUGAAUGCUUUUAUGAAUAAAAGUGCUUAGUGUAAUUUUCCCUGA